AUUGAACGCUGGCGGCAGGCCUAACACAUGCAAGUCGAGCGGUAACACAGAGGAGCUUGCUCCUUGGGUGACGAGCGGCGGACGGGUGAGUAAUGCCUGGGGAUCUGCCCGAUAGAGGGGGAUAACUACGGGAAACUGUAGCUAAUACCGCAUAAUGUCUACGGACCAAAGUGGGGGCUCUUCGGACCUCAUGCUAUCGGAUGAACCCAGGUGGGAUUAGCUAGUUGGUGAGGUAAUGGCUCACCAAGGCGACGAUCUCUAACUGGUUUGAGAGAAUGACCAGUCACACUGGAACUGAGACACGGUCCAGACUCCUACGGGAGGCAGCAGUGGGGAAUAUUGCACAAUGGGCGCAAGCCUGAUGCAGCCAUGCCGCGUGUGUGAAGAAGGCCUUCGGGUUGUAAAGCACUUUCAGCGGGGAGGAAGGGUCACUAGUUAAUACCUAGUGGCAUUGACGUUACUCGCAGAAGAAGCACCGGCUAACUCCGUGCCAGCCGCCGCUGUAAUAC
rnacentral:rRNA from 1 species